AGUGAACGCUGGCGGUAGGCCUAACACAUGCAAGUCGAACGGCAGCACAGUAAGAGCUUGCUCUUACGGGUGGCGAGUGGCGGACGGGUGAGGACUACAUCGGAAUCUACUUUUUCGUGGGGGAUAACGUAGGGAAACUUACGCUAAUACCGCAUACGACCUACGGGUGAAAGCAGGGGAUCUUCGGACCUUGCGCGAUUGAAUGAGCCGAUGUCGGAUUAGCUAGUUGGCGGGGUAAAGGCCCACCAAGGCGACGAUCCGUAGCUGGUCUGAGAGGAUGAUCAGCCACACUGGAACUGAGACACGGUCCAGACUCCUACGGGAGGCAGCAGUGGGGAAUAUUGGACAAAGGGCGCAAGCCUGAUCCAGCCAUACCGCGUGGGUGAAGAAGGCCUUCGGGUUGUAAAGCCCUUUUGUUGGGAAAGAAAAGCAGCAGGUUAAUACCCCGCUGUUCUGACGGUACCCAAAGAAUAAGCACCGGCUAACUUCGUG
rnacentral:rRNA from 1 species